rnacentral:rRNA from 1 species
AAGUCGACGAAGUAGCAAUACUUAGUGGCAGACGGGUGAGUAACAUGUAGGUAUCUACCCUUUGGUGAGGAAUAACACGAGGAAACUUGUGCUAAUACCUCAUAAGUCUUUACGGAGAAAGCUUUAUGCGCCGAAGGAUGAGCCUGCACUUGAUUAGUUUGUUGGUGGGGUAAUGGCCUACCAAGACUUUGAUCUAUAGCUGAUCUGAGAGGAUGAUCAGCCACAUUGGGACUGAGACACGGCCCAAACUCCUACGGGAGGCAGCAGUAGGGAAUAUUGCACAAUGGAGGAAACUCUGAUGCAGCGAUGCCGCGUGAGUGAAGAAGGCCUUUGGGUUGUAAAGCUCUUUCGUCGGGGAAGAAAAUGACUGUACCCGAAUAAGAAGGUCCGGCUAACUUCGUGCCAGCAGCCGCGGUAAUACGAAGGGACCUAGCGUAGUUCGGAAUUACUGGGCUUAAAGAGUUCGUAGGUGGUUAAAAAAGUUGGUGGUGAAAUCCCAGAGCUUAACUCUGGAACUGCCAUCAAAACUUUUUAGCUAGAGUAUGAUAGAGGAAAGCAGAAUUUCUAGUGUAGAGGUGAAAUUCGUAGAUAUUAGAAAGAAUACCAAUUGCGAAGGCAGCUUUCUGGAUCAUUACUGACGCUGAGGAACGAAAGCAUGGGUAGCGAAGAGGAUUAGAUACCCUCGUAGUCCAUGCCGUACACGAUGCGUGUUAGACGUUGGAAAUUUAUUUUCAGUGUCGCAGCGAAAGCGUUAAACACACCGCCUGG